rnacentral:rRNA from 1 species
AUUGAACGCUGGCGGCAGGCCUAACACAUGCAAGUCGAACGAGUGGCGGACGGGUGAGUAAUGUCUGGGAAACUGCCUGAUGGAGGGGGAUAACCACUGGAAACGGUAGCUUAUACCGCAUACCAUCGGAUGUGCCCAGAUGGGAUUAGCUAGUAGGUGGGGUAACGGCUCACUUAGGAGACGAUCCCUAACUGGUCUGAGAGGAUGACCAGCCACACUGGAAGUGAGACAAGGUCCAGACUCCUACGGGAGGCAGCAGUGGGGAAUAUUGGACAAUGGGCGAAAGCCUGAUGCAGCCAUGCCGCGUGUAUGAAGAAGGCCUUCGGGUUGUAAAGUACUUUCAGCGGGGAGGCGUUACCCGCAGAAGAAGCACCGGCUAACUCCGUGCCAGCAGCCGCGGUAAUUC